rnacentral:rRNA from 1 species
AACGAACGCUGGCGGCAUGCCUAACACAUGCAAGUCGAACGAUCCCUUCGGGUCUAGUGGCGCACGGGUGCGUAACGCGUGGGAACCUGCCCUUAGGUUCGGAAUAACUCACCGAAAUUUGUGCUAAUACCGGAUAAUGUCUUCGGACCAAAGAUUUAUCGCCUUUGGAUGGGCCCGCGUUGGAUUAGCUAGUUGGUGGGGUAAAGGCCUACCAAGGCGACGAUCCAUAGCUGGUCUGAGAGGAUGAUCAGCCACACUGGGACUGAGACACGGCCCAGACUCCUACGGGAGGCAGCAGUGGGGAAUAUUGGACAAUGGGCGAAAGCCUGAUCCAGCAAUGCCGCGUGAGUGAUGAAGGCCUUAGGGUUGUAAAGCUCUUUUACCCGGGAUGAUAAUGACAGUACCGGGAGAAUAAGCCCCGGCUAACUCCGUG